rnacentral:rRNA from 1 species
UACAGAGGUGGCAAGCGUUGUUCGGAAUUACUGGGCGUAAAGGGCGCGUAGGCGGCCUUCUAAGUCAGACGUGAAAUCCCCCGGCUUAACCUGGGAACUGCGUCUGAUGACUGGGAGGCUAGAGUAUGGGAGAGGGAUGUAGAAUUCCAGGUGUAGCGGUGAAAUGCGUAGAUAUCUGGAGGAAUACCGGUGGCCGAAGGCGGCAUCCUGGACCAUUACUGACGCUGAGGCGCGAAAGCUAAGGGGAGCAAACGGGG